CCAGAAGUUUAUUGACUUUAAAUUAAACUUCAGGUAAAUCAGAGUCUUGCAAGCUUACAUAAUACAAUGAGAAUCCCCAUGUAUGAACAAAAAUAGAAUACAAUAUGGGAAUUUGGAAACAAAUAAUAAGGUAAGUUAUUACAUCACAUGAUUAAUAAUUUACCGAUCGAUGCCCUCGAUCUUGUCUUCAACCUCCGAGUACAGCUGCCUUAACUUCUCGAUGUUAUCAUCAGAUGUGUCCCAGUACCCUCGUCCGUUGGCCUCCAAGAAUGUCUGCAGCAACUUCCUGAAGGAGUUCGGGUUGGUGUUCAUUAGCCGGUUUAACAUCUCCUCGUCUUUAAUGAAGGUUGUGUUAGCCUCUUCGUACACCCAGUUGUCGACUUGCCCUGAAGUUGCACUCCACCCGACUGUGUUGGUGAGCCGCUUCUCAAUCUCACGAACGCCCUCGUAACCGCUUGACAGCAUCCCUUCGUACCAUUUUGGGUUCAGUAACUUUGUGCGUGCGUCUAGACGGACCGUCUCCGAGAGGGUGCGCACUUGUGCGUUAGCUGUGGUUGUGUCUGCAAUGUAGGCGCUUGGUUUCUUCCCGUCUUUCCGUAGGCUCCCGACAAGGUUAGUCGGGUCGGAAUCAAAGUAAUGGCUCACAUCGGUUAAUGAAAUCUCUGAUGAGUCGAGGUUUUGGAAAGUGGCUUCGGCUGUACUUAACGCCAUCUCGAAAACUUUUCGUUUCUCGCUCAUUCCGGCACCAGGAGUGUCGCUGUCGAAUGCGAAUGACUUUCUGCUCAAAUACAUGUCUUGAAGCUGUUUCUCAUCGUUCCAUGUUGAGUUUUCGACUGCAAGGUUUACGUUUGAUGAGUAGGAGCCAGAUGCAUUGGAGAAGAUACGGGUCGCAGCUUCUCUAACAUCGACGCCAAGAGUCUCAGCCUGCUCAAGUGCGUGUUUUCUCACGUAGUUUUGCUCCAAUGGUUCGUCCAGCUCGGCAACCAUCUUCACUGCCCGGUCCAGGAGAACUUGGUGUCAGAUAAAUACUGAAUCCAUGGCUCAUUAAGACCAAACCCAAGGAUCGAAGUCAAUUUGCCCGACACAUCAACCACUUGACCCUUGCUGUUGGUGCUUCUCUGCACGAAAGCUGAAACCGCCCCACGAGAUGCAUCUGUGAUCUGCUUCAAUAACUCCACAUCCUUCAAGAUCCCCUUAUCGCUGCCUCUGUAGACAUCUUCAAUCUGUCUACCAAGUGUCUCAGCCAGUAUUGAUGGAAGAGACGAGAUGCCUUCUUCUGGGCGAUCCAAGGCGGCGAUAUUGACCAAGGUGGCAACAGCCUCCAUGGCGGAUGGCGGCUCACCGAUAACGUGAAGUCCACAUGGCAGCAGUCUGGACUCAAUCUCCAUGAUCUUGGAGUAGACCUUUCCCACAACAAGAUCACGUUCCUUGCUUGAAAUCUCUGCUCCUUCAUCGGGCAGGUCAACAUCUUUGUCAAGAUUGCAUUGCCUAGCUGUACUAAUGAUGGAGCUCACGAUCUGUUGACCACGACCCGUGUCUUUGAGAGACUGAUAAGAUGAAAUCAACUCACUCAGCUGCUUCAAACCCUUGUAAAGACCAGCAUUUUCUGCAGGUGGUGUCAAGUAACUGAUGGUAUUCGCAUAGCUUCUUCUCUUGGCAAUAGUGGCUUCUGAAGGAUUGUUAGCGGCAUAAUAAUAAACAUUCGGGAUGUUUCCAAUGAGACUGUCAGGGAAACAAGCAUCGCUCAUCCCGACCUGUUUCCCAGGCAUGAACUCCAACGACCCGUGGGUCCCGAAAUGAAGAACCGCAUCGGCUUUGAAGAUUUUCUCGACAUAAGAGUAGUAAGCUGCAAAGCCGUGAUGUGGACUAGCGGAUUUGGAGAAAAGCAGCCUCAUGGGAUCACCCUCGUACCCGAAAGUGGGCUGGACACCGAUGAACACAUUUCCAUAUUGUUUCCCGUAAACCAAAAGGUUCUCACCAUCGGAGUUCAAGUUCCCUGGUGGCUUUCCCCAGUUCUCUUCUAAUGCUGUGGCGUAUGGAGUUAACUGCUGGUACUCUCUCACUCCCAUCUUGUAAGCAAUGUUGAGGUUCGGACUGCUGAAUUGAGCUUCUUUGUCGU
rnacentral:lncRNA from 1 species